AGUGAACGCUGGCGGUAGGCCUAACACAUGCAAGUCGAACGGCAGCACAGUAAGAGCUUGCUCUUACGGGUGGCGAGUGGCGGACGGGUGAGGAAUACAUCGCAAUCUACUUUUUCGUGGGGGAUACCGGAGGGAAACUUACGCUAAUACCGCAUACGACCUACGGGUGAAAGCAGGGGAUCUUCGGACCUUGCGCGAUUGAAUGAGCCGAUGUCGGAUUAGCUAGUUGGCGGGGUAAAGGCCCACCAAGGCGACGAUCCGUAGCUGGUCUGAGAGGAUGAUCAGCCACACUGGAACUGAGACACGGUCCAGACUCCUACGGGAGGCAGCAGUGGGGAAUAUUGGACAAUGGGCGGAAGCCUGAUCCAGCCAUACCGCGUGGGUGAAGAAGGCCUUCGGGUUGUAAAGCCCUUUUGUUGGGAAAGAAAAGCAGCAGGUUAAUACCCCGCUGUUCUGACGGUACCCAAAGAAUAAGCACCGGCUAACUUCGUG
rnacentral:rRNA from 1 species